rnacentral:rRNA from 1 species
UACAGAGGGUGCGAGCGUUGUCCGGAAUCACUGGGCGUAAAGGGCGCGUAGGUGGCGGCACAAGUCCAUGGUGAAAGCUCGAUGCUCAACAUCGAGUCGGCCACGGAUACUGGGUUGCUCGAGCACUGUAGGGGCAGAUGGAAUUCCGGGUGUAGCGGUGGAAUGCGUAGAGAUCCGGAAGAACACCGGUGGCGAAGGCGGUCUGCUGGGCAGUUGCUGACACUGAGGCGCGACAGCGUGGGGAGCAAACAGG